rnacentral:misc_RNA from 1 species
AACGCACCUUGCGCUCCUUGGUAUUCCGAGGAGCAUGCCUGUUUGAGUGUCAUGAAAUUCUCAACCUUUCUGUCUUUGACAAGCAGUCUGGCUUGGAUCGUGGGGGUUUGCAGGCUUACCUGAGCCAGCUCUCCUUAAAUGCAUUAGCAAAAUCAUCGCUGUAUCAUCUUUGAUAUGAUAAUUAUCUAUAUCAUUGAAGGGUCAGCUUUAAGAUUUGGCUUCUAACUGUUGUUUCUUUUCACAAGGAACUGCUCUGAACAUUUUGACCUCAAAUCAGGUAGGACUACCCGCUGAACUUAA